rnacentral:rRNA from 1 species
AGCGAACGCUGGCGGCAGGCUUAACACAUGCAAGUCGAGCGGGCCCUUCGGGGUCAGCGGCAGACGGGUGAGUAACGCGUGGGAACGUGCCCUUCGGUUCGGCAUAACUCAGGGAAACUUGAGCUAAUACCGGAUACGCCCUUAUGGGGAAUGGUUUACUGCCGAAGGAUCGGCCCGCGUAUGAUUCGGUAGUUGGUGAGGUUAUGGCUCACCAAGGCGACGAUCAGUAGCUGGUCUGAGAGGAUGAUCAGCCACACUGGGACUGAGACACGGCCCAGACUCCUACGGGAGGCAGCAGUGGGGAAUAUUGGACAAUGGGGGCAACCCUGAUCCAGCCAUGCCGCGUGAGUGAUGACGGCCUUAGGGUUGUAAAGCUCUUUUCUCCGGGACGAUAAUGACGGUACCGGAGGAAUAAGCCCCGGCUAACUUCGUG